rnacentral:rRNA from 1 species
AUGGGCGAGGAGCUUGUGCAUGUGUCGGGAAUCCCCUCGUUCCCGGCAACGCACUGCUUCAAGCCGCUCAUGGAUCGUGACGACGCGGCAUACAGAGCUUUCCUGGGGGUGUCCCCCUACCUCUGCCGCUCCCAGGGCAUUAUCGUCAACACCUUCCGCUCGCUUGAGUCGCGCACCGUCGACGCCAUCAGUGUCGGGCUCUGCACACCUCCCGGCCUCCCAACGCCUCAUGUCUACUGCAUCAGGCCGCUGAUCAAGUCGGAGGAGGUGGGCGUGAAGCACGACCAAGAGUGCCUGACAUGGCUAGACACACAUCCCAAGGCCAGCGUGGUGUUCCUCUGCUUCGGCAGCCGCAGCCUGUUCAGCGCAAAUCAGACCAGAGAGCUGGCCAUAGGCCUGGAAGCGAGUGGCAAAAGGUUCUUGUGGGUUGUGCGGAGCCCGCCCAGGGACAUCGACGGCCCGGCGAAGAAGCUGGACAAGCUGCCGGACCCGGACCUCGACGCUCUCCUCCCAUAG